CUCAUUUAAGAGAUUUUCCUCUUGGAUGUCUUCUGAGUUAUCACUAGUAGCAGCAUUCAGAGAAAUUCAGAGCUCAACUUUACACAGAAAUAUUUCUAACUAUAUAAAACCAAAAAAAAGGAGGGGGACAAUGAGGGAAUUCUUUAUUCUAGAUUUAUAUUAGGUAUUUUUAAAAAAAAAUAAACACAAAUUAUGAGUUCUGAGGAAUUUGACUUUCUAUUCUGCCUUUAUAUCUUUUAUCCUUGAAACCUAAUUGAUCAAGCUUUAUUUAUGAACCUGUUGCACUAAAAUGUGUAUAGGGAAAUACAUAUUGAAGUAGACCUACCUCUUCUUUAUAGGUACCCUCCUGAGAUUGAUAAAUAUACCCCUUCCCCGUAAUGAAAUGCUAAUUUUUAUUUGAUCACUCAUUUAUAGCAGUUGCUUAAAUGUAUAUAUUUAUAUGAAGGUGUUUUAAUUAUUUAAAAGCCAAAAAGUUCUAAUAAGUUGCCAGAUUUCUAAUAAAUCCAAGUUUUACUUGGUCAAAAGGUAAAGAAAAUGAGUUAUGGUUCUGAAGUUAGUUUUUUUAAACAAGAGUUCAGUAUAAAUGUUUUUCAGUUUUCUUAGUUACUGGGGUUAUUCUGCAAAAGAAAGCCCAAUGCUUUCUGUUAGCAGUAGGUAAUUUUUCUCUCUUUUGACUUUGAAUGCUAAAUUUAGGAGGUGAAUCUUUUAUAAAGGUCAGCAUGCAUCAAAAAAUUACAUAUUUAAAGUUACAACAGAGAAGGGACAUAAAAUUCCACUUUUAGCAGAAAGCUAUAUAAUAUUUUUGAAACUCAAUACAUCAUUUGCCUCCUGCCCAUUUGAAUAUAAUCAUACCUAUGUUUUAUUGUGUAUUAUUUGUAAAAACCAAACCCUUCCAGUAAAUACUUGCUAUAAGGCUAUUACUUUUAUUUAUAAAGACUUAUAAAUAAGUUAAAAUUUGCCAUUUUGAUUUUCCAAAGAAUUAUUUUCUACUGAGUUACUUUCUAGUAUUAAAGAAAACCAACUGUAAAGUUCUUACUGUCCUUUAUCAUGUGGAGUCUCUUAAGUGAGCAGCUAAGAAAAAGCCUUAUAGAAAGAAUGCACUGGAUUUAUGAGUGUGUUUAUGUUUCUCUAUGAAUGGGAGCUUCUGUUAACUUAGGGGUAGAGUUGUUCGGAGUUAACCAGUAGAUUGGAUGACUAACUGAAGAAUCCAGAAUAAUAAAUCCAUUAACCAGACAUGAUUACUUUUUCAUUAGAAUUUGUUGAUUAGGUUGUACUUUUUAAAUGCAAACACCAAGCUUUAAAAAUACUGUUUGUUUACUGUAUUGGUCAGCAAUUUAUUAUAAGCAUUUAAUUUGAAAUAGUUACUGGUUAUCUUUUUAGAAAAUUUUUUUCUUUUUUUACAUAUAUAUGGGCUUUUUUUUUUUUUUUUUAAUUUAGAGGUUACCAGAAGCUCUGGUUUUGUUUUGUUAUGUUUUGUUUUUGUUUUUAAAUAAUUUUCAGAUGUUAUCCAGAAAUCUGCAAGUGUACUUUUCCUGUUUUAACUCCUUCCUUUUAUCACCUGACUAUCAGGGAAGCGAGGUUGAGGCUGCCCUGACCUGACAUGUCAUGAUGUCGACUUGCUAGGUGGGGUUCGCUGGGGACGAUAACCAGUGGAAUUGUUGUGUGGAUUGCUUCUGAGCCACUGAUGGAAUGAGUACUCCCGGAAGGAAUGUAUCAUUUGGAAUCCAGAAUCAUUCAUCAAGGAUAACUGCCUGAUCCUAUGAUUUCGUGACUGACGCUGAAAUGGAAGCCAACUGAUGCUGAAAUUUGGGGGAAAAUUACAUCUGAAGAAUGCAAGAGAAAGUAGGAAUUCAUUUCUAGCAUUCCCAAACCUGCCUUGUAUUGUCUACUGUACUAUAGUCAGAGGACAACAACUGAGUUCAUGGAAUUUGCCAGCUAAGCCUUACAACUGUCUUAAAUGUUCUUAGGAAAUACACUGAAAAGGUAAGUGAAUUGUCCAUUUAGAAGAAAGACUAAUAGGUAUUUUUAAGUCAGUUGUUAUAUUUUAAUAAAGACAGGGAGCUCCUUUAUUCCAAACUUCAAAGUCGUGCCCCUACUGGGUGACUUCAGUACUGUGGCAAACGUGGAGUUGUUCAACCAGCCUGGAGCUUUUCCUCUACUCAGCUACUAAGCCAGAACAUGCGUUGAAGUGCAUAGCAUGCUAAUUUCUGUUGUCUUGUUGUGCUCAAAUCCUUUUUUUUAAAAAAUUACUUUGUUUCAGAUGAGAUUUAGUUUUAUCACUCAGUAUAUAGAAAAGAGUGUUUAAUGUUUCAAAGAUUCAGCAUUACAUUUGCAUUAGAUAGAAUCAAGAAUAAAUUAAGGGUUUUAAAUGAUUUCUGUUAAUACCUACUUAUAUUAGUUUUGUGGAUUAUUAAAAAAUAUUAUUACAUUUAUUAUGUUCCUGUGUGAUAGGUAUUGUGCCAGGCCCUGGAAUACAGAGGGACUAGCAUGCACAGUUUAUGUCCUUUGUUCAUACAAUACAGAUAGCAUUCUGGUUUAGAGAAUCAAGAUAUGAUAUAAAAAGGCUAAUUCCAUUUUCUCAUCAAUAAUUUACUCUGAUAACUACUAUGUUAACUUAGCAUAAUAAAUUCUUUAUGAAAGUGUCUUCGUUUGUGUGUUUAACAUUUAUUAAAUACUUUGUGCCAGGUAUUGUGUUAAACUCUUUACAUAUAUUUCUUUACUCAUAUCUCUUCUUUGAGGUAGGUACUAUUACUAAAACUCAUUUUCUAAGAAAAGUAGAGAAGCUAACUAACUUAACUUGUGCUGAGUUUGCCUACCUAUGAUCUGGGACCAAUAUUUGGACCCAGGUAAGCUAAUUCCAGAAUCUACACUCUUUCUUUGGGUAUGAUGUUGAUAUGCAGUACCUGGCUAUGAGUAUCCAUAAACCAUUCCAAACUCUUAAUAGAAAUUUUCCCUAAAUUCUUCUCUAGCUCCAAGACAGUUUGCAUGCUGACCUUUCCUCUUACCCCAGGCCCCAAGUGUAAAGGACUGGAACAGAAGAGCAGAGCUUGGCAGUUACAUUUUAUAUUUAGGAUCUUGUCUCUCAGAUCCACCCCUUUUAUUUUUGGAAUGUGAGCAUUUUCUUUAGCUGCUAAAUCAUGAGAAAAUACAGCUGCUGAGAUUUUUCCUAGGAUUAAAAAAAAGAUUAGGCAUUGUUGAAGUGAAGAAAAAUUGCUCUGAGAACCACAGGUAGGUAAUUUGCCCCCUGUUGUAUGGAAAGCCCCUGCACCUCUGUCCAUUGUUUUAUACUUCUGUAAAUCUGAUUUUAACUUUAAUAAAGUGGUUUCUGAAGUGAGUGGGUUUUAUUUUGUCUCAUUUCCCAUUAGAUUCUGUAUCUCUUUUCACCUUAUGUAUAUUAUUGC
rnacentral:lncRNA from 1 species